GACGAACGCUGGCGGCGUGCCUAAUACAUGCAAGUUGGGCGCUGAAGGUUGGUACUUGUACCAACUGGAUGAGCAGCGAACGGGUGAGUAACGCGUGGGGAAUCUGCCUUUGAGCGGGGGACAACAUUUGGAAACGAAUGCUAAUACCGCACAAAAACUUUAAACACAAGUUUUAAGUUUGAAAGAUGCAAUUGCAUCACUCAAAGAUGAUCCCGCGUUGUAUUAGCUAGUUGGUGAGGUAAAGGCUCACCAAGGCGAUGAUACAUAGCCGACCUGAGAGGGUGAUCGGCCACAUUGGGACUGAGACACGGCCCAAACUCCUACGGGAGGCAGCAGUAGGGAAUCUUCGGCAAUGGACGAAAGUCUGACCGAGCAACGCCGCGUGAGUGAAGAAGGUUUUCGGAUCGUAAAACUCUGUUGGUAGAGAAGAACGUUGGUGAGAGUGGAAAGCUCAUCAAGUGACGGUAACUACCCAGAAAGGGACGGCUAACUACGUG
rnacentral:rRNA from 1 species